UCCAGACUCCUACGGGAGGCAGCAGUGGGGAAUAUUGCACAAUGGGGGGAACCCUGAUGCAGCGACGCCGCGUGGGUGAAGGAGCGUUUCGGCGCGUAAAGCCCUCUCGGCAGGGAAGAAGGAGGACGGUACCUGACUAAGAAGCCCCGGCUAACUACGUGCCAGCAGCCGCGGUAAUACGUAGGGGGCAAGCGUUAUCCGGAUUUACUGGGUGUAAAGGGGGCGCAGACGGCAGCGCAAGCCAGGAGUGAAAGCCCGGGGCCCAACCCCGGGACUGCUCUUGGAACUGCGCGGCUGGAGUGCAGGAGGGGCAGGCGGAAUUCCUGGUGUAGCGGUGAAAUGCGUAGAUAUCAGGAGGAACACCGGUGGCGAAGGCGGCCUGCUGGACGGCAACUGACGUUGAGGCCCGAAAGCGUGGGGAGCAAACAGGAUUAGAUACCCCAGUAGAA
rnacentral:rRNA from 1 species